rnacentral:misc_RNA from 1 species
GAUGAAGAACGUAGCGAAAUGCGAUAAGUAAUGUGAAUUGCAGAUUUCAGUGAAUCAUCGAAUCUUUGAACGCACCUUGCGCCCUUUGGCUAUUCCGAAGGGCAUGCCUGUUUGAGUAUCGUGAACACCUCAACUCUCAUGGUUUGCCAUGAUGAGCUUGGACUUUGGGGGUUUUGCUGGCCUUUGGUCGGCUCCUCUCAAACGGAUCAGCUUUCCAGUGUUUGGUGGCGUCACGGGUGUGAUAACUAUCUACGCCUGUGGUUUUCUGCCAGAUAACCUUCAGCGAUGGAGGUUCGCUGGGGCUCAUAAAUGUCUCUCUUCAGUGGAGACAGCUUUUUGGACGUUUGAUCUCAAAUCAGGUAGGACUACCCGCUGAACUUAAGCAUAUCAAUAAGCGGAGGA